rnacentral:rRNA from 1 species
GAUGAACGCUGGCGGCGUGCCUAACACAUGCAAGUCGAGCGAUUCUCUUCGGAGAAGAGCGGCGGACGGGUGAGUAACGCGUGGGUAACCUGCCCUGUACACACGGAUAACAUACCGAAAGGUAUGCUAAUACGAGAUAAUAUGCUUUUAUCGCAUGGUAGAAGUAUCAAAGUUUUUGCGGUACAGGAUGGACCCGCGUCUGAUUAGCUAGUUGGUAAGGUAACGGCUUACCAAGGCGACGAUCAGUAGCCGACCUGAGAGGGUGAUCGGCCACAUUGGAACUGAGACACGGUCCAAACUCCUACGGGAGGCAGCAGCGGGGAAUAUUGCACAAUGGGCGAAAGCCUGAUGCAGCAACGCCGCGUGAGCGAUGAAGGCC